rnacentral:rRNA from 1 species
UACGUAGGGUGCAAGCGUUAAUCGGAAUUACUGGGCGUAAAGCGUGCGCAGGCGGUUGUGCAAGACAGAUGUGAAAUCCCCGGGCUUAACCUGGGAACUGCAUUUGUGACUGCACGGCUAGAGUGUGUCAGAGGGGGGUAGAAUUCCACGUGUAGCAGUGAAAUGCGUAGAGAUGUGGAGGAAUACCGAUGGCGAAGGCAGCCCCCUGGGAUGACACUGACGCUCAUGCACGAAAGCGUGGGGAGCAAACAGG